CCUGGCGGCGAUAGCGCGGUGGUCCCACCUGACCCCAUGCCGAACUCAGAAGUGAAACGCCGUAGUGCCGAUGGUAGUGUGGGGUCUCCCCAUGCGAGAGUAGGAAACUGCCAGGC
rnacentral:rRNA from 1 species